rnacentral:lncRNA from 1 species
AUUAGGACUGGCCUGCGGGGCAUCUCUUUUAUGUUCCUUCACCCUUUUCCCUAUCGUUCUUGUGGUUAUUCCAACAUAAAAAGAGUAGCACUGCAGAGAAACCCGACCUUGUUUAAUGUUCUCAAAAAUGAGAAGGACAAACUUGAGCAAAGAGAAAGAAGAGAAGUUUAUAGAAUACCAAUGACGGAUAAUAGCACGGGAGAGAGGUCGGCAUAUGUCGGAGUAACCACAAGAACGAUAGGGAGGGGGUGAAGAAACGUAAAAGAGAUGUUUUGCGGACUAAUCUUGGUACGGCCCUGGCACGUGAGGCGUAUAGCGGGGAUAUUACUGUGGGGUGGGGGGAG